GAUGAACGCUGGCGGCGUGCUUAACACAUGCAAGUCGAACGAAGCACUUUAACCUGAUUCUUCGGAUGAAGGUUUUUGUGACUGAGUGGCGGACGGGUGAGUAACGCGUGGGUAACCUGCCUCAUACAGGGGGAUAACAGUUAGAAAUGACUGCUGAUACCGCAUAAGGCCACAGAGCCGCAUGGCUCGGUGGGAAAAACUCCGGUGGUAUGAGAUGGACCCGCGUCUGAUUAGGUAGUUGGUGGGGUAACGGCCUACCAAGCCAACGAUCAGUAGCCGACCUGGGAGGGUGACCGGCCACAUUGGGACUGAGACACGGCCCAAACUCCUGCGGGAGGCAGCAGUGGGGAAUAUUGCACAAUGGGGGAAACCCUGAUGCAGCGACGCCGCGUGAGCGAAGAAGUAUUUCGGUAUGUAAAGCUCUAUCAGCAGGGAAGAAAAUGACGGUACCUGACUAAGAAGCACCGGCUAAAUACGUG
rnacentral:rRNA from 1 species